UCCCAGUGGCCCGAGUCUGCCUCAGCAGGU
rnacentral:piRNA from 1 species